rnacentral:lncRNA from 1 species
AUUUAUUUAUUUCUCUAUAGUGAGAUAGAAGUUACCAUACAUUAUAUUAAAAGCUGUCUUUAUAAUCUGAAGGAUAUAGGUUCAGCAUGUCCCAUACUUUCAUGUUUCACUUUAAAAAUCUGUUGGACAACACAAUUGUGGUGCAGUCCAUGAUUGGCCUGGAAUAACCCUGUUGUUUAUUAUUCUCUUUUGAUUGAAAAGCAGAAUAAAAAUUAAAACGAAAAAUUGUCCCAAUAAAAGUUGAUACUUGUUUUAUUUAGUAAUUUCAAUAAUAUUUUUUGCAUGAAAGUAAUAACUACAAUAAAUGUUUCAGAACUUAAUCAAAAGCCCACUGAUGAUAAUAUAGUUAAUAAUAAUAUAAUAUGCUCUUCUGUUUCUUGUUUUAUGAUGUUUUCCAUCCUAUUGCCAUUGACCAGAUCAAUAUGGUAAAUUACUCAUUUAUUAUCAUAGAGGAUCUGAGUUCUCCAGAUUUUCAAGUGGAGUUUAGGACUGGCCCAUUAAACUCAUCCUUCAACCUUUGGGUUAACCACAUCAGGGAUGUUGGCCAUCCUGUGAUAGGUUCUAGAAAGUGGUUGUUGUCAGAUACAAGAUGUCCGGUGUGAGAUAAGGCAGAUUAACAAAAACUAAAACAUUUUACCGUCUACAAAUUUUGCAAAUUAAUAGUACUUACCAAUACCAACUAUAGAUCAUUCAUGGUUAUAGUAGAGUAGGAUGUCAGUUAAAUGAUGUAUUUUGAUGGAACUUGAUUUCCUUCUAAGAAAAUAUAAAUUGUGGAUCCAGAAUUGAAUCCAAAAUUUUAGGUUGUAAAGUAAUUUUAU